AUUGAACGCUGGCGGAAUGCUUUACACAUGCAAGUCGAACGGCAGCACGGGGCAACCUGGUGGUGAGUGGCGAACGGGUGAGUAAUACAUCGGAACGUGCCCAAUUGUGGGGGAUAACGUAGCGAAAGUUACGCUAAUACCGCAUACGAUCUACGGAUGAAAGCGGGGGAUCGCAAGACCUCGCGCGAAUGGAGCGGCCGAUGUCAGAUUAGGUAGUUGGUAGGUUAAAGGCUCACCAAGCCGACGAUCUGUAGCUGGUCUGAGAGGACGACCAGCCACACUGGGACUGAGACACGGCCCAGACUCCUACGGGAGGCAGCAGUGGGGAAUUUUGGACAAUGGGCGCAAGCCUGAUCCAGCCAUUCCGCGUGCAGGAUGAAGGCCUUCGGGUUGUAAACUGCUUUUGUACGGAACGAAACGGCGAGCUCUAAUACAGUUUGCUAAUGACGGUACCGUAAGAAUAAGCACCGGCUAACUACGUGCCAGCCGCCGCUGUAACAC
rnacentral:rRNA from 1 species